ensembl:lncRNA
CACUUCAAGUGUCAGUUUGGAUAGCUAGCUAAUAUUUAAGAUUUCCCCCAAUUCUAAUCAAUAGUUGACAACUUCCUUUGCUUUUCAGGUCUACUUGCAAGAAGCAGGAGACUGAAUUUUUGCUGCUUUAGAGCUUUUUCAUUUGUUCUGUGACUGCAGGGUAGAAUUGAGAGUUGAACACUGGGGUCACCGCAGACCAAAUACAUAUUUAAGUGACAACUGAAACUAUGUAGUAUAGAAAAUUAAUUUCUAGUUACAAAAUCAGUAUAUGCCAGGCCCUAUGCUAGACCAUUUUAAUUGGUUACCUCAUUUUAAUAAACGAAGGAAUAAUUUUGGAGAUGAGGUCAGAGGGCUGGUAAAGGAAAAUCCUGGAUUGAAACAGAAGCCUAUCAAAAUUCACAUAUCCUGCUGGUUCUAGCAUUGAGAGCUGGGCAGUGAGUUGCUGGCUUUAUUUUUUAUUUUUUGAGACAACAGUCUCAUUCUAUUGCCCAGGCUGGAGUGCAGUGAUGCAACAUUGGCUCACUGCAACCCCCGUCUCUACGGUUCAAGUGAUUCUCCUGCCUCAGCCUUCCUAGUAGCUGGGAUUACAGGCUAGUGCCACCACUCCUGGCUAAUUUUUGUAAUUUAUAGUAGAGCUGGGAUUUCACCAUGUUGGCCAUGCUGGUCUUGAACUCCUGACCUCAAGUGAUCUGCCCGCCUCCACCUUCCAAAGUGCUGGGAUUACAGGUGUGAGCCACCACGCCCAGCCAAGAUACUGGUAAUAUAGGAUCCCCAGAUUCAUGUCAUUUAAAAAAUCACUUAGGUGGCAAUGAAGAUCAUAAACAGAAAGUGAUUUAAGGUGAGAUGCAAUAGGCGGGAAUUGGUGGAUCUCCAUUCUGACCGAUUAACAGCCAGUGUGUGGGCUUUUGAGCAUCAAUUUAAAGCAAAAAGUGGUAUCCCUGCUUAGCAAUGAUAUUGGCCAUGCCGUUACAGAUCUCUCCCAACUCGGUCCACUAUGUGCAAAAUACCGAUAAGACUUCUUGGCUCAAUACGGUAGAAAGCUUGCCGAAGUGUCCAGGGUUGGUUAAGAAGGUGCUUAUCGGCCGGGCAUGGUGGCUCACACUUGCAAUCCUAGCAGUUUGGGAGGCUGAGGUGAGCGGAUUACCUGAGUUCAGGAGUUUAAGACCAGCCUGGGCAACACGGCGAAACCCCCAUCUCAACUAAAAUACAAAAAAUUAGCCAGGCGUGGUGGCGUGCACCUAUAGUCCCAGCUACUCGGGAGGCUGAGGCAAGAAAAUUGCUUGAAUCCUGGAGGCAGAGGUUCAGUGAGCUGAGAUUGCACCAAUGUACUCCAGUCUGAGCGACAGAGUGAGAUUCUGUCUCAAAAAAAGAAAAAAAAAAAUGCUUAUCAUGGGCCGGGUGCGGUGGCUCACGCCUCUAAUCCCAGCACUUUGGGAGGCCUAGGUGGGCAGAUCACGAGGUCAGGAGUUCAAGACCAGCCAGGCCAACAUAGUGAAACCGUGUCUCUACUAAAAAUACAAGCAAAUUAGCCAGAUACGGUGGUGCGAGCCUGUAGUCCCAGCUACUCGGGAGGCUGAGGCAGGAGAAUCGCUUGAACCUGGGAAGUGGAGGUUACAGCCAGCUGAGAUUGCGCCACUACACUCCAGCUUGGGCAACAUAGUGAGACUUUGUCUCAAAAAAAAAAAAAAAAAAAAAAA